rnacentral:lncRNA from 1 species
UAAAUUCAAAAUGCCUACAGCGAACUCGAGUAGUUGUACGAUUUCUAUGGCAAAGAGUGAAGACCAGUCGUAGUAAUACUGCCAUUCAUUUUAGUGGAAUUUUUCAGUAUAUAAAUACUUAUUAAUCAAGUUAUCUUUAAUUUUAUAAUUAACGAAAACAUAUAAUUAACAAUUCAACAACUUAAAUAUAAUCAUAUAUUAAAAACAGGAACAUGUUUUAUAAAAGGUACAUCUCUCUAAAAAGAGAAACCACGCCCCACCGGUCAUUAUCAGAGAAAUCACGCCUCAACGGUCAUUAUCAGACGGAAACCACGCCCCAACGGUCAUUAUCAGACGGAAACCACGCCC